AAGAGGGGUCUUGGAAGGCUCUGUGACCUCAGGCUUUAAUUCACAACAAUUUUUAUCUUGUACAUAAAAGGAAGAUAAAUUUUGGAUAACUUCAAAAUGCAUUUUAUUUAUUUAUUUAUUUUCUUUUUGAGCUGCUGCCAGUUGAAUUCAUGACAACUGAGGUGUUUUGCUUUAUGAAUAAGAGCAUCAACUACCCUAUUGUGUCCUGUCAGAGUAUCCUGGUAUUUCUACAUCCUCUCUAAGGUCCACUUUCAGACUUGGAGGAAUUUGAUCUGGGAAUUAGGUUUUGGACCACUUUGUUUCCAUUUUGCAAAUGUGUAGAUGCUGCAGUGAAAUACACAGUGGUUUCUAUUUCUUCCUCUCCGUAGGGAUGUUUAACUCCCAUUGACACUGAUGUGAGUUAUGCAUAUGUCUAAAGAGGAGAAGAGAGUCUUAGAUCUUUUUCUCAUCGUUUACAUGAGAUCAAAGGAAAUCAAAUAGAGUUAAUGAAGGGCCAGAUGGUGCUUUAUUUGUGCUCUGGAAGACAGUACAAGAGAAUGGAAGGAAUAUCUGUAGUUUAAUCUGGCAAAGAGGAGGAAAACUUACUAUCUUGUUUAAUGGGCACAGGAGCAAGUAUGCCAUAUCUUCAGAAGUGGGAAAGGUUUGCUUGUUUUCUCUCUCUCAGCAGAUUUUGGAUGCAGGGAUAGGGUUGCUUUUGGAAGGCACUGACUGAACAGAUUCCAGACUCUGAAAUCACUCAUAUUUUGUCUUUCUUGGAAACACAAAUUUCUUUGGGCCCUGUCAAUUCUUCAGAUUUUGCUUUUAAGUUGUAGGACAUGGGUGCUCUUCUAGUUCAUGGAAAAUGUGUAAUCUAAGCUGCUGCAAGGAGGCAAAGCUGCAGUGGCAGGAGAGCCUUUGAUUUAGAUCCUCACUGUGAAGGAGAUUUUGGCAGGAGAGAUACAGGAUGCAGUAAACUUUAUCAACUGUACACAGAGGAAGCCAUAUCCCAGAGGAUGCAAACGCAUGCAAAUUGUCUUGCCAGCAGGAGAGAGACUAGAAAUUGCAUGGACGAAGACCAGCUACUGAAAAACACUGGUGAAAAAGGAAAGAAAUAAUUGGAUGGAAGAGAGGACACAAAAGCAUGGACAGAGUUGGAUUCCUUUAGGUUGUGAGAAGGAUGGUGAAAUCUCACCUUCAGGGUGUGAAGAAAUGUGUAUUUGGAGAAGAAUGGCUGCAGUCACCACCAGGCAGCCAAGAGAUGCUUGAAUCAAAAAGCAUGGAGUCUCAACAAGCAAAGUCUGAGGGCAUGGGAAAAUUGAUGCUCUGAGCCUUCCUCCACCAAGCACUGAGCUCGGCUGGAAGUGCGGACGCUGAGGUCCUGGGGUUAGCCUUACAUCACUGGAGGACCAAAUAACAGAAGAAAAAUGCUAAAUAGGAAGCUGACCAUGAAGAUCAUUCCCAGGAAACUUUGCUUAAAUAUUGAAAACAAAGAUGGAACAUAUAAUACUGAAAAAAAAAAAACUCCAAAAUAUGAAUAGUAUGGUGUUGAACUACAAAAAGGCAUGGAUGGAUGGAUGGAUGGAUGCGUGGAUGCAUGGAGGGAUGGAAACCAGUGGAGAGCAUUGACUGUGAUCAAAGGUAGGAGCCCUGGGCAGCCUAACUCUUGCCUACAGAAGCUUGUGGCAUAACUAUCAUCUGGCAUGCAAAGUAUUGCAUAUUUUUAAAGGACUGAAAGUACACUGGGAUAGUGACUGCUUCUCCCUGAGUAUCUAGAAUAUGAACACAAUGAUACUUUUGGAUUAAUUCAGAGCUAUACCCCAGAAAAGUAGCUUACAAGACUGUAUCCAUAUGUACGUUGGUCCAUUAGACUUGUUUGUCUCAAAAAGUAGGAGAGGGUUUUGUUUGUUUAUUGUUUUGUUUGUUUGUUUGUUUGCUUGUUUUAUUUUUCAGACGUUUCCUGUGGGGUAAGAGCUUUGUAUGGCCAGAUUAUUUGGAGAUACUUCUUUAAAUGACUGUGAUCCUACUGAACUCUUAUGAUGCUUUUCUCAUAUUUUAAUCCAAAAGAAAGUACAUACCAGACCUUUUCAUCCUGUUCUCCAAACUCUUUACCAGUGGAAUGGCCUACUAUGGCUGCAGCUGGAAGAAGUUUUAAUUAGCUGCCAAUGAUGUCAUGUCCAUGUCUGUGUUAAAGGCACAGGUCUAAGUGUUCCUUUUUAUUUAAUGUACUGCAGAAAUUCCAUUUUGGGAUAGCAUUAAGACGCUUCAGAGCCAAUCUUGUAUUUCUCCCAUAGUUAAGACACUUGGCCUUCAGCCCCCUGACUUCUGACACUACCACAGUUGUGCUAUAAUCAUCCAGAAAUACACUGCCUGUUGUGUUUUAUUGCUCAUGUGAAAACUGUCCAAUUCCUUGUCAGUUGACAAGGGAGGAGCGCCGCAUUGAAGGAUUGCACAGCAGUGUGUCUGGGAGCUACGUUAUUUCACACCAGCAGCAACCUUUCAGUGUUUGCGCUGUAGCCUCAUAGAGUGUUGGUGCUUUUGCCAUACAGCGGAGAGCAAACCCUAUUGUAGUCACUCUCUCCGCCAGAGAGACUAACUCAUGUUGCCAAAUAUCUCCCCUCAACACAUUUAUUGAACAUUAAAACAGCAGAAUAACGUUGAAUGAAGUCCAGUAAUUUUAUAGGAUAUAUUUUAGUCACUAGACUUUGAAGACUAGUCCAAUGUUAAUUAUAAAGUUUCUGUGUCUGGAUAACAUAUUGUUAACAGUUAUUUUGUAAGUGCUAAUGGCAAGAUGGAAGAUUUCCAAUAGUUUUAUUGAGGAAGUGGCAAUUAAAAUGUUGAGCGCUGCAACAUACAUACAAAAUAAAAAUAAUCCUGCAUACACAGCAUUUUAUGUUUUAAAAAAAAAAGGAAAAUGGAAAAAAAAAAGGGAUGAAAUUUUUCCUUUG